GCAUGAGUAGUAUAGUGGUUAGUAUGAGCGUUUCCCAUACGCUAGACCCUGGUUCGAUUCCUGGCUCUUGCA